UACGGAGGGUGCGAGCGUUGUCCGGAUUUAUUGGGUUUAAAGGGUGCGUAGGUGGCCUUUCAAGUCAGCGGUGAAAGUCCCGGGCUCAACCCGGGAAUUGCCGUUGAUACUGUUGGGCUUGAGUAUCGGAGGGGUAGGCGGAAUUUGUGGUGUAGCGGUGAAAUGCAUAGAUACCACAAGGAACACCAGAGGCGAAGGCGGCUUACUGGCCGAUAACUGACACUGAUGCACGAAAGCAUGGGUAGCGAACAGG
rnacentral:rRNA from 1 species